rnacentral:rRNA from 1 species
AUGAACGCUGGCGGCGUGCCUAAUACAUGCAAGUCGAGCGAACAGACGAGGAGCCUGCUCCUCUGACGUUAGCGGCGGACGGGUGAGUAACACGUGGAUAACCUACCUAUAAGACUGGGAUAACUUCGGGAAACCGGAGCUAAUACCGGAUAAUAUAUUGAACCGCAUGGUUCAAUAGUGAAAGACGGUUUUGCUGUCACUUAUAGAUGGAUCCGCGCCGCAUUAGCUAGUUGGUAAGGUAACGGCUUACCAAGGCAACGAUGCGUAGCCGACCUGAGAGGGUGAUCGGCCACACUGGAACUGAGACACGGUCCAGACUCCUACGGGAGGCAGCAGUAGGGAAUCUUCCGCAAUGGGCGAAAGCCUGACGGAGCAACGCCGCGUGAGUGAUGAAGGUCUUCGGAUCGUAAAACUCUGUUAUUAGGGAAGAACAAAUGUGUAAGUAACUAUGCACGUCUUGACGGUACCUAAUCAGAAAGCCACGGCUAACUACGUG